ACUCGGCAGAAGAGUCCCCAAUAGGAUGAAAUGUGCUUCCUGAAU
rfam:Schistosoma curassoni strain Dakar, Senegal genome assembly, scaffold: SCTD_scaffold0000065